rnacentral:rRNA from 1 species
GAUGAACGCUGGCGGCGUGCUUAAUACAUGCAAGUCGAGCGAACGGACGAGACGCUUGCUUCUCUGAUGUUAGCGGCGGACGGGUGAGUAACACGUGGAUAACCUACCUAUCUGACUGGGAUAACUUCGGGAAACCGGAGUUAAUAAUGGAUGAUAUUUUGAACCGCAUGGUUCAAAAGUGACAGACGGUCUUGCUGUCACUUAUAGAUGGAUCCGCGCUGCAUUAGCUAGUUGGUAAGGUAAAGACUUACCAAGGCAACGAUGCAUAGCCGACCUGAGAGGGUGAUCGGCCGCACUAGAGCGUGAACGGGGUCCAUGCGCCUACGAGAGGCAGCAGUAGGGAAUCUUCCGCAGUGGUCGAAAGCCUGACAGAGCAGCGCCGCGUGAGAGGUGAAGAUCUUCGGAUCGUAAAACUCUGUUAUUAGGUGAGAACAUAUGUUAGAGGAGCUGUACACAGCUUGACGGUACCUAAUCAGAAAGCCACGGCUAACUACGUG